rnacentral:sRNA from 1 species
GCUGGGCACUGUGGUGCACACCUGUAAUCCUAGCAGCUUGGGAGGCUGAGACAGGAGGAUUUCGAGUUCAAAGCCAGCACCAGCAAUUUAGCGAGGCCCUAAGCAACUCAGUGAGACCCUGUCUCUA